AGAGUUUGAUCCUGGCUCAGGACGAACGCUGGCGGCGUGCCUAAUACAUGCAAGUAGAACGCUGAAGAGAGGAGCUUGCUCUUCUUGGAUGAGUUGCGAACGGGUGAGUAACGCGUAGGUAACCUGCCUUGUAGCGGGGGAUAACUAUUGGAAACGAUAGCUAAUACCGCAUAACAAUGGAUGACCCAUGUCAUUUAUUUGAAAGGGGCAAAUGCUCCACUACAAGAUGGACCUGCGUUGUAUUAGCUAGUAGGUGAGGUAACGGCUCACCUAGGCGACGAUACAUAGCCGACCUGAGAGGGUGAUCGGCCACACUGGGACUGAGACACGGCCCAGACUCCUACGGGAGGCAGCAGUAGGGAAUCUUCGGCAAUGGGGGCAACCCUGACCGAGCAACGCCGCGUGAGUGAAGAAGGUUUUCGGAUCGUAAAGCUCUGUUGUAAGUCAAGAACGAGUGUGAGAGUGGAAAGUUCACACUGUGACGGUAGCUUACCAGAAAGGGACGGCUAACUACGUGCCAGCAGCCGCGGUAAUACGUAGGUCCCGAGCGUUGUCCGGAUUUAUUGGGCGUAAAGCGAGCGCAGGCGGUUUGAUAAGUCUGAAGUUAAAGGCUGUGGCUCAACCAUAGUUCGCUUUGGAAACUGUCAAACUUGAGUGCAGAAGGGGAGAGUGGAAUUCCAUGUGUAGCGGUGAAAUGCGUAGAUAUAUGGAGGAACACCGGUGGCGAAAGCGGCUCUCUGGUCUGUAACUGACGCUGAGGCUCGAAAGCGUGGGGAGCGAACAGGAUUAGAUACCCUGGUAGUCCACGCCGUAAACGAUGAGUGCUAGGUGUUGGAUCCUUUCCGGGAUUCAGUGCCGCAGCUAACGCAUUAAGCACUCCGCCUGGGGAGUACGACCGCAAGGUUGAAACUCAAAGGAAUUGACGGGGGCCCGCACAAGCGGUGGAGCAUGUGGUUUAAUUCGAAGCAACGCGAAGAACCUUACCUGGUCUUGACAUCCCGAUGCUAUUUCUAGAGAUAGAAAGUUACUUCGGUACAUCGGUGACAGGUGGUGCAUGGUUGUCGUCAGCUCGUGUCGUGAGAUGUUGGGUUAAGUCCCGCAACGAGCGCAACCCCUAUUGUUAGUUGCCAUCAUUCAGUUGGGCACUCUAGCGAGACUGCCGGUAAUAAACCGGAGGAAGGUGGGGAUGACGUCAAAUCAUCAUGCCCCUUAUGACCUGGGCUACACACGUGCUACAAUGGUUGGUACAACGAGUUGCGAGUCGGUGACGGCAAGCUAAUCUCUUAAAGCCAAUCUCAGUUCGGAUUGUAGGCUGCAACUCGCCUACAUGAAGUCGGAAUCGCUAGUAAUCGCGGAUCAGCACGCCGCGGUGAAUACGUUCCCGGGCCUUGUACACACCGCCCGUCACACCACGAGAGUUUGUAACACCCGAAGUCGGUGAGGUAACCUUUUGGAGCCAGCCGCCUAAGGUGGGAUAGAUGAUUGGGGUGAAGUCGUAACAAGGUA
rnacentral:rRNA from 1 species